CCGUUUCAACGAAAACAACACAACAAUUUGAACAAACGCUUGUAAUGUAUUUUACAUCUUGAAAACGACCUGAUGUCAGAUGAAGAAGUCUGAAGAUGCCCUGGAUAUCUUGUCGCAGGAUGACCCAAACGAGCAUGCAUUCAGUAGAAAAAUGUUAUUGACAUCCCAAUCUUAAGUGGGAAGCUUCCAGGUAUCUUCCGCUAGUGACAGUCUACUGGCAAAUCCAGACAUGCAUUGGAAGUAUGUUGAUGUGGAGGACACAGGGACACCUGAUCCAAGAACUGUGACAUUUCAGUCGGAAUGACAACCUGUCAUUCAGUUGAUUUGGGACCUGAUUAUUCAGAGAAUUGCAGAUUUUAUGAAGCUGUUUUUGACAGAAGAUUUGGUUUUCUCCAUCUGUGUUGCCACCAACCAUUAUGCUGUGAUGGUCAUAUCUAGGGGUACGCUUGUCAUAUGCUCCCCAAGGAAGUUCGCAGCCUCUCACUGAAGAGGAACUGUACAGAUUUUUGGGCAUUAUCUUAUACAUGUCUGCUGAGAAGUUCCAGUCGAUACACAGAUAUUGGUCAACGCCUGCCACUAUCAGAACAACCCAGUAUCAAGAAUUAUGUCUAGAAAUAUGUUUUAAGAGGUUGAAAAUAAGAGCAUUUUAGUUAAAUAUAAUACAAGUACAUUUAAAUUUAGUGAUUGAAAGUAAGUACUGGAACAUUCGUAUACAUUGAACUUGGGGAGGAAAAACGGGCAUUACUUUCUCAUAACAUUUGAUAUCAUAACGGUGUUGUAGCUUAGCAACCAAAUAUAUUUGAAUAUAAAAAAUAGAUUAUUUUAGAUUUUAACAGAAAAGAUCUUUGUUUUAAUGUUGCAAUAUUUAUAUUAUUUAGUGGAACAUAAUGGCAAAACGUCA